CGGGGGAAAGAUUUAUCGAAGAAGGAUCAGCCCGCGUUGGAUUACGUAGUUAGUGGGGUAAUGGCCAACCACUCCGACGAUACGUAGCUGGUUUGAGAGGAUGAUCAGCCACACUGGGACUGAAACACGGCCCAKACUCCUACAGGAGGCAGCAGUGGGGAAUCUCAGACGAUGGGCGCAAGCCUGAUCUAGCCAUGCCGCGUGAGUGAUGAAUGCCUUAGGGUUGUAAAGCUCUAUCAGCUGGGAAGAUUAUGACGGUACCAGCAUAAGAAGCCCCGGCUAACUCCUUGCCAGCAGCCGCGGUAAUACUGAGGGGGCUAGCGUUGUUCGGAAUUACUGGGCGUAAAGCGCACGUAAGCGGACCAUCACGUUGGGGGUGAAAUCCCGGGGCUCAUCCUCGGAACUGCCUCCGAAACUGCUGGUCUAGAGUUCAACAGAGGUGACUGGAAUUCCAAUUGUACAGGUGAAAUUCAUAUAUAUUCCGAGGAACACNAGUGGCAAAUGCUGCUCACUGGCUCGAUACUGACACUUAGGUGCGAAAGCGUGGGGAGCAAGCAAGAUUAUAUACUCUGGUAGUCCACGCCGUACACGAUCAAUGCCAGACGUCAGGUAGCAAGCCUAUUCGGUGUCACACCUAACGGAUAAGCAUUCGCCCUGUGG
rnacentral:rRNA from 1 species